rnacentral:rRNA from 1 species
UACGGGAGGGGCAAGCGUUGUUCGGAAUUACUGGGCGUAAAGGGCGCGCAGGCGGCGGUGCUGGCCCGGCGUGAAAGCCCCCGGCUCAACCGGGGAGGGUCGUCGGGGACCGCACCGCUUGAGGGCGGUAGGGGCUGGUGGAAUGCCUGGUGUAGUGGUGAAAUGCGUAGAGAUCAGGCGGAACACCCGUGGCGAAGGCGGCCAGCUGGGCCGACCCUGACGCUGAGGCGCGAAGGCGUGGGAGCGAACGGG